rnacentral:lncRNA from 1 species
GUGACUCUGCCGGACAGGAAGUGAUGGACUUCCGGUGGGGAGGAGCCGGGGUGAGGAGGGCAUCGCCUGGUGAUAAACUUCCUGCUGGCUAAUGCCCGAUUGGUCCUGGGAGUGGGAGGGGCCCGCGGUGCUGGGCAUCGCUACGUUGGCUGUCAAGAGGUUGAUAGAACGCGCGGGCCGAGCGGCGGGAGGACGAGAAGGUGGAACAGAAGAUGUCAGAGAGCUGGGAGGAGCUUGGCUUGUCUCCGCCUCCCCCAAGUCCAUAAGGAAGGGGCUGGAGAGUGUGGUCUGAAACAUGUCGCCAAGGCAACCAAACCACAGAAAGGUACAGGACUCUGAUUACCACCACCACUAAUGAUCCAGAAAGGUACAGGGACACUGUCACCACACAACUAAAUGAUCCAGAAAGGUACAGGACACUGUUACCACACCACUAAUGAUCUAGAAAGGUACAGGACACUGACACCAACCCCACUAAUGAUCCAGAAAAGGUACAGGACACUGAUCCACCCAACAUGAUCCAGAAAGGUACAGGACACUGAUCACCACACCACUAAUGAUCCCAGAAAAGGUAACGGACACUGAUCACCACACCACUCAAUGCCAGAAAGGUACAGGACACUGAUCCCACACUACACCACUAAUGAUCCAGAAAGGUACAGGACACUGAUCACACACUACACCACUAAAUGAUCCAGAAAGGUAAGGACACUGAUCUACACCCAACUAAUGAUCAGAAAGGUACAGGACACUGUUACCAAACACCACUAAUGAAUCUAGAAGGUACAGGACACUGAUCACCACACCACUAAUGAUCCAGAAAGGACAGGACACUGAUCACCACACCACUAAUGAUCCAGAAAGGACAGGACACUGAUUACCACACCACUAUAUGCAUGACAACACUAUAUCUCUACUGUUAACGUUGGUGAUUGAGACUCGUGACAUUGUAGUCAUCUUCAGAGACUGACUGAUCUACAAAUCACCCUGCGUCAAAAUAACCAAGUUAUUUGUAGAUCAGUAUCACAAUUACCCAUGAUGACAUCAGGGUGUU